GCCCCCGUAGCUCAACUGGAUAGAGCUGCUCCGUCCUAAGGAGAAGGUUGCUGGUUCAAGUCCGGCCGGGGGCG
rnacentral:tRNA from 2 species